UUCGGGAGAAGUGAAAAAAAAAUUAGAGAGGGGGAUGACAGUGUUGACGUUUUUUCCUUCGGCGUCUCCCGCUUCUUUCUGUCAUCUGCCUCUCCGCGUCUCCCUUUCUCUCUGUGUCGCGCUCAAGAAUUGUGGAAGUUGUGGGAGAUUUGAUGAUGGGCGAUUGGCUGAUAAGAAUAAGGGUUUCAACAGUUUAACUCACGAAAGCGUCAUCGAUUUGGGUCCAAUUUGUUUUGGGGCUUUUCUUCUUCACCACCAAAAGGCAAUUUCGUACAGAUCAGUUUUUCAUUUUCAUUCAUAUUUUUCUGGGCUCUUGCAUCCACGAAAUUCAGGGUGGAGAACACAAAGUAUGUGUUGCUUUGUGUUCAGAUGCCAUAAAUUCCCAAUCUUUACAUUCUCCUUAUAUUCCUUUAGGUAUGCCCAGAGUCCUAGAUGAAAGUUUCCCGUCUGUGGUGGUUUUUUCAUAGCCAUCUUCAAUCAUGUCCCAGAGGUUUUGUGAGACGAAGAGGGCCUUCUGCCUUCAUUUGGCUGCUGCUGUAGUCAUUGUUCUCUCCUUCAAAAAUUGGUUGGUUGUUUGUACACUUGUUAGUGAUGGUGCAAAGCAUACGAUAAAUGCUAAUGUAUUUGGUUUUAUAUCAGGGUUUGGUUAGUGAAAGAUGUUAAACUGCUGCUGCCAGAGUAGCUUUGUGUUUUGGUUUCAUCCAAAAUUGUGUAUAUUCAUUCUUAGGGAGGGAUUAAGGUAGGUUUAGUUUUCCAGAUAAAUUCAAACAGGUAGUGUUGACAAUAUGGGUGGUUCUUGUGCGCCUUUUUGGUUGUGCAGUGGACUCCUGACAUUGCCCCCUUUGUGCAGUUCUGAGGAUGAACCGGAUGCAACGUUGAAUGUGUCCAUGAAGGCGUGCAUCUCCAAAAACUAUAUACAUGUCUUUGUUCUCAUAUUCUGAAUGAAUGUUGCAGAGAACUUUCCAAUGAACUGAUUUUCGUGGUGUUUGGUGGACUUGAUGUCUUUAUUCUCAUAUUCUUGCAUUUGUGUACGCAAGCAUUGCAUUACUAUUCGUUUGAGAAUAAAUGGCAGUUAAAAAAUUAUUGUUUAGAAAAAUGCUAGUUUUAACAAAACAACCGUUUGAAAAGAAAGGACAGUUGAAAAAUACGAUCGUUAAUAAAGAAAUAAAGAAAGAAUAAAGGAAGCAUAUCUAGAUAAUAUAGAGAAUAAUAGAUAAUUGGAUGUAUGAUGCCUUUUAAAACCCAUUAGCUAAAAUAGAUAAAGUAGGUUUUGGUUAGCCACUUUACAUAUAAAAAUGCAUAAGCAAUUGAGAGUGCUCUUACCUACCCAAAUUCUUAAUGAUCCUAAUUUGGCUAACCUAGAGAGUGAUAGAAAGGUUUGAGUGUACGCACUCAAAACAUUUUUAAGAAUCUUUCACUACAAUUAACAAUUAAGAAUGAAGGAGAUUUUAUCCUCGUUUUACCUUACAUUACAUUGUACAUUUGGACUACGGCUUAUGUGCAUCCUUUGUCGUUUAGUUUUGAUGUCUUUCUUGCUCGUUUUUCUCGUUCUAAUUAGGUGUUUCCUUUGUAUACUCCCGGUGUAUUAAG